UUGAGAGCGGCGGACGGGUGAGUAAUGCCUAGGAAUCUGCCUGGUAGUGGGGGAUAACGUUCGGAAACGGACGCUAAUACCGCAUACGUCCUACGGGAGAAAGCAGGGGACCUUCGGGCCUUGCGCUAUCAGAUGAGCCUAGGUCGGAUUAGCUAGUUGGUGAGGUAAUGGCUCACCAAGGCGACGAUCCGUAACUGGUCUGAGAGGAUGAUCAGUCACACUGGAACUGAGACACGGUCCAGACUCCUACGGGAGGCAGCAGUGGGGAAUAUUGGACAAUGGGCGAAAGCCUGAUCCAGCCAUGCCGCGUGUGUGAAGAAGGUCUUCGGAUUGUAAAGCACUUUAAGUUGGGAGGAAGGGCAGUUACCUAAUACGUGAUUGUUUUGACGUUACCGACAGAAUAAGCACCGGCUAACUCUGUGCCAGCAGCCGCGGUAAUACAGAGGGUGCAAGCGUUAAUCGGAAUUACUGGGCGUAAAGCGCGCGUAGGUGGUUUGUUAAGUUGGAUGUGAAAUCCCCGGGCUCAACCUGGGAACUGCAUUCAAAACUGACUGACUAGAGUAUGGUAGAGGGUGGUGGAAUUUCCUGUGUAGCGGUGAAAUGCGUAGAUAUAGGAAGGAACACCAGUGGCGAAGGCGACCACCUGGACUAAUACUGACACUGAGGUGC
rnacentral:rRNA from 1 species